AGGGCGAAGGCUCUGGCCUCAGCCAGCCCAGAUUGGGGUUCCCACGGUGCCGUGGCGGGCUGAGGGACUCCUCAAGUGCCGCCAGAGUGGACGCCAAGGCUGCUAGCACAUUGUCAUCUCUCAGUAAUAUGGUAUAAAAAUAUCUGUGAUUUCCAUUGGUGACAAAGUAACAGGUGUAAUGAAGAAUCUUGAGGUCAUCCUGGAUUACCAAAGUGGGCCCUAAAUCCAGUGGCAAGUGUCCUCAUAAGAGACAGACACAGAGCAGAGACCAGGUGAAGACAAAAGAAGAGGCUGGAGUGAUACAGUCAUCAGAAAGCAUGGGUCAAGAUAAAUCUCCCAUUAGCCUGAGUCCCUGAAAGAAUGCAGUGAAAUGAACACAGCCUACCAGGUGACCUGCACUGGUGUGUGUGGUAUCUACAUGAGACGCAUGUGAUGACUGGAGACUAGGCAUUAUGAAUGACUUAGGAAACCUCUGGAGGGUGCCUGCUUUGUGGCCAUAAACCACUGUGCCCAUGUGGAAAACAUUGCAGUCCUGGGGCAGAAGAUAAACUUCAUGCUUGAUAAAAAACAACCAAAAGUAUCUUACUAUACUGUACUCAACCUUCUUGGGAUGAUGUGAGUUGAUAAAAUGCCUACAUGAUGAGAUGAAGUGACAUGAAUGGCAUAGCAUUGUGAUGUAACAUUAGCUGCUGUCAUCUGCUUUGGGCGAUCCUGGGUCAUCAAGCCAUGAAGAUGUUGAUGGUUGGAUGUCAGAAGCAGAUGUCGAUGACUAACAGUGUUCAUCACCAUCUGACAAUACUUAUCGAUGAAUAUAGACGCAUAUACAACACUUGCUCAAGAAAAACAUUUAAUAUCGAGAAAAUUUUCAAUAUUUAUUUAGAGAAAUACAUACUCCCCGUAUAGUCCCCAAUUUUAUUAACAGAUUCCAGGAGACGGUGGGCAAGUCUAAUAACCCAUGGCUGAGAAAUUUGUUGACAUUUUUUUCCACCUUCAGAAGAAUUAGCAUUGUCUUCAGAGAUGUUCCAAGUGAAACAGCAUGUAUGUCCUGAAUAGAAUAACAACUUUUUAAACAAAGAAAUAAGGGAUAAACUCUUGGCCAACAGACCUUGGAAGGGAGAAAUAACUUCCAUUGGCAGCUGGAACAGAUGGCAUCUCAAGCAUGACAGAUUUCCCACCAUUCCAACUAGGAUCAAUAUCCAUUAGCAUGAAGUAAGUUAGCUGGCAGUUGGGUGAGAAUUCUGCCUAUUAGUUUGAUUUAGGUAUGGGUUGAUUUGCAUAGUUUUGCCAUGAUACUUUGUUUCAGCUCAUUACUUGUGACUGGAUUCAAUAGCAGCCAUCCCAAGGAUUGUGUGAUCAUCAGCUAACUGACGUAAAGUUGAAACUGGAAAGAUUUGUAAAGAAAGAGCAAGUGAAUUGAAGGGAUUAAACUACAUCUCUAUGUUGGCUUUCUUCCUCUGUGGAUAUUCAAAUAAAGCAAUUUCAUAGUACUUUUCUGAAGCAAAGUUAGAGAGUAAGUGGAGGAAAUUGGCAAUGUAGAUGGAAAACAGACCAAUAUUUAUCAUGAGUUUACUUUCUACCUGGUGUUUUUCAACUGGAAUUCUUUUAAUUCUUACUGCAGAUCACACAGUAGGUGACAAAACCUGGCUUCAAAUCCAUGUUUGAAUCUGAGAGCCAUUCUUUUCAUCUUUCAAUUACAUUGUGGAUGGUCAGUCGUCCAUCAGCCUUUAGCUCUUUUCUUCCUCAAGACAUUAUGCCUGAGCCCAUUCUUAAAGGUUUUUCUCUUCAGGAAAUUCUUAAGUUCUCAACCUGGAAUACUGGUGUAUAAUAUUCAUUGAAUAUAAGAGUUAAUUGCAUUUUAACUAAAAACCCAAUAACUUAAUGCAAAGAGAUAAAUUUCUAAUGACGAGUUAUCAGAUAAUGUAUUUACAUACUCAUGCAACACCUAGCUAUUCACCAAGCAUCUAUUAUAUGCCAAGUACACUGUGCUAAGUACUGAGAAAACAAUAGUGAGCAAAACAACGACAGUUCUUGUUUCAAGAAGCAUAGAGCUUGAUGGGAACAAAGAUACUGAUUAAAGAACACAUAAAUUUAUAUUAAAUUAUGAUUGUUAAGACUGAUACAAAAGAAAGUUAAAGGAUGCUUAUAAUAGUAGAGACUUGAGUUGUAGGUUGGGUUCCCGGGAAGCAGACUUCUAAGAUAAAAUGAAUGCGUAGGAUAUUUAUUAGGGAGUAUUGUUGAGAUCAACACUAGUAGGAAGAAGAAGAAACAACUGGGCUAAGGUGGAAGUUGGGUUGUGAUGCAGGCUCUAUGAAGCCCUCAGCUGACCUACUGGGAACCGUGAUACUUAGAUGAGCCUUAAGAGUUACCUCAAGUUGGGAUGAGGGUCCAGGUCUUUAUAUUCCACAUCAGUUAGUCUUUGGCCUUGUGUUGGUUCAGAAGGGAGUAUUUUGAUGACAGAGUAGAAUGUAUGGAAAUGGACACAACUUUUUCCUAAACAUUUGGCUUAGGUAGGAAGGAGGAACAUAGAGAAUGGUAGCUAGAGGACAGUGCAGACCACAGUGAACUUUUAUUUUCAAUAGAAGUAUCUGAGGCAUGGUUGUGUUAAAGAGGAGAGGCUUCAUGGAGUAUUACUGGGGGAGAUGCUUCUAGGUAGGCAUUUUAAUCAGAGGCAUUUUAAACAUAUCUCACCACAAAACAAUCUUUGUGUAUAUCCCACUUUGUUCUUGACCUGGGUAUAAAUAAGUAUGGUACACAUAGACUUAAAACUUUACAUUCUUAAAUUUUGUACUUCCUACCUUUUUCAAGAUAUUUACUGGUAGACCUACCUCAGUAAAGGAGGAAGAUGAAGGUUAAACAUGGUAGCACGAGUCAUAGUCUAUAUGUGGGAUAAAAGAGAGAAAUGUAUUUGGCAUAGAAUAUUGGGAACAAUCAUUUUAGGAUCUCAAAUCGUUCUUCACAAUAAUACUAGAAGAUGUGACUAUUGAUUAAUCCAGAAAUAUAAUUUGUGCCUUUCUCUAAGUAUUGGAAAUUUAUCUGGUAUAAUUUGAACCAGCAGGUAUGACUAGUCUCAAAAAGAGGAGGUCUCAAGACUCAACAGCUACUGGGUAUGGUGAUAGGAAAUUACAUCAGAUAUUAAAACUCAGGGUUAAGCUUAUCAGUAAUCUGGAUGUAUUUGGAAUUGAAGGUAGGGAAAUGUGAAUUUUAAACUUUAUGACACUAAUAUUCUAAAUAUGUUGCUGUACUAUUUUAAUUAUAAGGUGUAUUAGUCAGAAAUCUAUAAAAGGGCAGAACCAAUGGGAUAGAUGAAUAUAUAAGGGGAGUUUAUUAGGAGAGUUGACUCACACGAUCACAAGGUGAAGUCCCGCAACAGGCUGCCUGCAAGUUGAGAGGCCAAGAAGCCAGUCCGAGUCCCAAAACCUCAAAAGUAGGGAAGCUGA